rnacentral:rRNA from 1 species
AUUGAACGCUGGCGGCAGGCCUAACACAUGCAAGUCGAACGAGUGGCGGACGGGUUAGUAAUUUCUGGGAAUCUGCCUGAUGGAGGGGGUUAACUACUGGAAACUGUAGCUAAUACCGCAUACCAUCACCUGUGCCCAGGUGGGAUUAGCUUGUUGGUGGGGUAACGGCUCACCAAGGCGACGAUCCCUCGCUGGUCUGAGAGGAUGACCAGGCACACUGGGACUGAGACACGGUCCAGACUCCUACGGGAGGCAGCAGUGGGGAAUAUUGCACAAUGGGCGCAAGCCUGAUGCAGCCAUGCCGCGUGUAUGAAGAAGGCCUUCGGGUUGUAAAGUACUUUCAGCGGGGAGGCGUUACCCACAGAAGAAGCACCGGCUAACUCCGUGCCAGCAGCCGCGGUAAUAC